CCUGCACAAAGGGGGAUAGAAGAGCCUGUUAGUCUAGUACGCUCCCAACUGAACUAUUUCAGCAGCUGCUAGGUUUCUUUUUGGCCUCCUGCUUUUCUGUGUGGGAUGUUUUUUUCAGCUGUGGCACAGAAAAAGGACGUCACGGCGAGCAGCCCAUGAAGACAAGAUUUACUUUUGCCUUCCUCAGAUGGUUGGGGAGAGCGAGGAGCAGCACUAUGUGCUCCAUGUGUCCUGGUCACUUUCCCCACCUGGGCUGUGCUGUGAGGGGAGCAUCAGAAGCUGCUGCUCUCUGCCCUCCCGCUAUGCAGCCCAGCUGAGGAAAGUGACCUGGAUGCAGGGAGCUCGGAUGAUCUCGCUUCUCGACCCCCCACCCCUGCUAGGGAAGGCUGCUAUGUGCUGUCUUUAUGGCUGCACUUUCAGUGAUGGAGGUUUCUCUAUCCCAUUGUUCCAGGGGCCUCCUACUAGAUUGCCAGCUGCUUUUCAACUGCAGUGUGGAGACUGCUUGUGUGUGGAGAGAGACAGUAUGUGUGUUGGGGAAGGGUGAGUGUGUUGAGGUAGGUAGGAGCAGAUCAUUAUUAUCCCUACUUGAAAGAGGGAGAAGCUAAGGCUGAGAAAGGAGAAUUGACUUGUCUUAGGUCACACAGCCAGUCAGAGGCAGAGUUGGGAAUAGGAACCCAGAGCCCUGAUUUUCAAAUUUACCUUCGGAUCUUGAAUUUCAGACAUUCAAUGACCGGAAUAAAUUGCUCUCAGAGGAGCUCCAGACCAACAACAGUGCACAGUAAUUAUUCAGCAAGUAUUUGAGGAGAACUGCAAUGUUAGAGAGAAUCAUGAACUGCUCAGAGACAAUUAAUGCAGAGAAGCAGCAAAAUUCAUCAAACAUAGAACUGGUUCUGACUUAUUUCCUUGGUCUUAAAAGAGACCAACAAGGACCUGAGUCUCCUCCCUGUCAAUAACCCCCUGCUCAGGCAACCAGGGUAGAGACUGAGAACGGAAGGCUGAGGGUUCUCACCAGAGAGCCCAAAAGAUGGCCCAGGUCACUGGUGGGGAUCACUGCCUGAGCACUAUUUCAGCCCGACAUAUUUGGCUGGACUCUCCACAGUGAGAGCUGCAGAGCACUCCCCUGAAAAACACACACACAGACGUCUCCUAGUGUUGGGAGGGGAACAGGAGAAAGGAGAAAAGCAAGAGACAAAGAAAAAGGAGAGAGGGAUGGAUGGAGGAAACGGUGAAACAAAAAGGACAAACCCUAAUGUCUGCAGUGAUUCUAAGGGACAAAAUCCCAGGUGAGCAAUAAAAUUCUGCCUCCUUAAGCUCGUGUUUUCCAUGCCUAGAAUUCAACUGUCACCAGAUGGAUCAGACUGAACAGGUUUCAAACCUCCAGGAGGCUCUUACCUUCUAAACAGGGACGGCUGUUUUCUAGUAAAAUCACAAAAAGGGAAGGAGAAAA